GACGAACGCUGGCGGCGUGCUUAACACAUGCAAGUCGAACGGAAAGGCCCUGCUUUUGUGGGGUGCUCGAGUGGCGAACGGGUGAGUAACACGUGAGUAACCUGCCCUCGACUUUGGGAUAACUUCAGGAAACUGGGGCUAAUACCGGAUAGGAGCUCCUGCUGCAUGGUGGGGGUUGGAAAGUUUCGGCGGUUGGGGAUGGACUCGCGGCUUAUCAGCUUGUUGGUGGGGUAGUGGCUUACCAAGGCUUUGACGGGUAGCCGGCCUGAGAGGGUGACCGGCCACAUUGGGACUGAGAUACGGCCCAGACUCCUACGGGAGGCAGCAGUGGGGAAUAUUGCACAAUGGGCGGAAGCCCGAUGCAGCAACGCCGCGUGCGGGAUGACGGCCUUCGGGUUGUAAACCGCUUUCGCCUGUGACGAAGCGUGAGUGACGGUAAUGGGUAAAGAAGCACCGGCUAACUACGUG
rnacentral:rRNA from 1 species